GACCAAAACGUUUGGCAAGAAAUCCCUCAGCAAAAGUAGGAAAAUCCGCAAGUAUUUCUGCGGAUUGAUUUUCGCAGAAAACUCCGCAGGUAUAUCACUAGAUUCUAGUAGUGAAUGAAUUAGACCCACAAUUUUGAAACACAUUUUUAUUAAUGAAACACAUUUUUAUUCAUCACACGCAAGAAAGAAAAGUAACGAUAACUGUGAGACGGUCAACACACGGAAGUUAAAAAUCUUAUGAGAUAUUUAUUUAAGAAAAACUAUGUCUACAUUCAUGAUCCAGGUCGUCGUGAGCUUAGCUCAGUUGGUAUAGACAAUGUAUAAUAAUAAUAUGCAAGGUCUAGGGUUUAAACUUGGCCAUCACAAAAAUAAAAAUAAAAAAAAUCCAUGCGACACCUUGUGAGAUAGUGAUAAAUAGAGUGAUUAGAUAAAUGUAACAAAUAAAUGAUGCAAUAGAAAAAGAGAUAUAAAGAGAAAAUACAAUGUUGUGUUUAUGAUCUAUUGAUUUUGAGCUUCACGUUAAAAAGGUGGUGGAUAGUUUUUCAUCCUCACUUUAUGAUGUCACAUAGUUUGAGAUGAUUAUCCAUCACUAUAAAAUUAUUUUCAAACAAUAUUAUAUAAAUUCCAAUGUUGAAUUUUUAAGGAGAUCCAAGCAAAUGAGGUAGUUUAUAGUUUAUCUAAGGUGGCCACAUCUUCAAACAUUGGUAGAAAUACCAAAUUGCAUUGAAUAAAUUAUCAUUAAUGAAAUGUUAUAAGUUUCUAACUUAAAAAAAAUAAUGUUAAAUGAGUGUUUGAGAAUUAUAGAUGUUGAAAUAUAAGGGUUGUUUAUUUAAUAAACAAUGAAGGUUUUUGCUUUGUGAGAAAAUAGAAGGACAUGAAUUACAUUUGUAAGGGUGGUAGGCAUAUUUUUCUUUAUUUUUAAUGAUGUGAUUUUUAAAAUUAUUACAAAAACAAUUGCAAAUAGGAUCAAACUGGUCCUCUCCGACUAAUUAGCGAGUUCCAAAGCGCUUUUGUUCUUGGAAGAUCGAUUUCUGAGAAUGCUCUUCUAGCUUUUGAAUAUUUCCAUUACAUGAGAAAAAAGAAGGGUACAAAGGGGUGUGGUGUGGUGUCAAAGUUGGAUAUGUCUAAAACUUAUGAUCGAAUAGAACGAGAUUCUCUUACUGCAGUGAUGAAUGUUAUGAGGUUUAAUAAAAAAUAUGACUGUCUCUUAUCUGUAAAUGUAUCUCAUCGGUCUCUUUCUAAUAUUUAUAAUAGGCGUCCGGGUGAAAAUUUAACCCUCGUAGAGCUCUCCACCAAGGGAACUCGCUAUCUCAUUACAUGUUUAUCAUAUAUACAGAAGUAAUUUUAGGAUAAAUAUGGAAAUCUCAAGAAAGUUGUAACCUCCAUGGUAUUCAAAUUGUUGUAGGAGCCCCACAAGAAUUACUCGUCUCUUCUUUGUAGAUGAUAGUUUAAUGAUUUGCAAAACACUUAUUAGGAUGCUCAGACUGUGAACAAUAUCCUAAAUCACUACAAAUAUACUUCUGAACUACUUAUCAAUUUGGAAAAAUCAGAUAUUUCUUUCAGCCGAAACGUUCUGGAAGAUAGAAAAACCAUGUACCAAGGUUUGAUGCAAAUAAAUGCUAUCAAAUGUCACUCCAAGUAUCUAGGUCUUUCUGCUUAUGUAAGAAACAUGCCUUUAAUUUUGUCCAAGAAAGAGUAUGGAAGAAAUUGAAGGGGUGGAAAGGAAAUUUUAUGUCAUCUGCGGCUAGAGAAGUAUUGAUUAAAGUGGUAGUUCGAUCGACUUCCACCUACAUGAUGAGUUGCUUUAAAUUACCCGAAGGAUUGUCCGAUCACACCAAAACCAUGAAUAGUAGUUUUUGGUGGCGAAGCAAACAAGGAAAGCGUAAGAUUCCUUGGAUAAAGUGAAAUUCUCUCAGCAAGGAAAAGAAGAAAGGUGGUCUGGGUUUUUGAACCUUCAAGGAAUUUAACCUAGCCAUGUUGGAUAAGCAAGGCUUGCAGAUAAUCCAAAAUUAGGAUCUUCUUCUCAUAAAAUGUUUGAAAAGCAGGUACUUCUCAAGAAGAAAUUUUCUUGGAGCCUCAAUUUGAGACAAUCAAUCUAUACUUGGAGGAGUAUCCUCUAGAAAUAUUAGAGAUUAUUGAUAGAGGACAAUUUUAGAGGGUGGAUAAGCAAGCAUGGUAGUUUCUCAGUACAAUCAGCUUAGGGAUUCCUCAAAGACCGAUAUAGUGAUUUGGCUUCAUCAUGUUCUCCUUGACUUUUCUUAAGUGAAUUUUAGAUGAAUUUUUCCAUUUGAUCUAUUCAAAUAUGUGCUAUUGUCCUAAAUGUUUUCCCUGCGUCUUUACGUACAAUUGUAAUCUUUUUUGGAAGGAUGUUUGGAAGCAAAAGCACUUAACCGUGAAAGCUAAAAAUCAAAUAUAUCCCUAUUAUUGACUAAGUGUGCAAUUUUAAGGGACAUUUUUGGAUGCUAAAUUACAAACAAGGAAGUAAGAGUGUUUAACUAUAUACUAAAUUGAGAACUUUGUAUUGUGAGUUGGUGAGACUUUGCUUGAUGAAACCUAUCACUUUUUUUUUUGUAAGAUGAAAAAGUUUUUAUUUUUUGUGAUUUUAAUAUUUAUGUGGAUAUCAUUAAGAAAUUAUUUUUAAAGCAAAAUGGACAUUGAUUGAAAAAAUAUAAAUCUGCGGGUUCAUAUUUGCUCCAUUUAACAUUCCUCCAUUUACUCCUUUCCAAUGCCUGGAUAAAUGAGAUAUGACAUUUUUUUUUGUACCCUUAAACAUGGGUUAGAGGAGAGAGAAGAGAAAAAUGAGAGGUGAUUUCUAGUGAGGCUUCUCUUUUUCGGCGAACACUCCGACGAUGGUUCUGCGAACUCUUUUUUCAAGUUUUUUCUUCUCUCUUGUUCCUGAGCCGUAUCCUUACUCUCAAUUCCAUUAUUUUGCUUUGAUUUUUGCUGAUUCAGUUGCUGUUGUUGUUCGAUUGAGUGAACUGGGUUUUGCUCUAUUGUACUGGUUUUUCUUCAUAACUCUAUGAUUUGGUGCUUGUUCCUGUUCGUUGAUGCUUGUUCUUGUUCGUAUUGACCUAUGCUUUCUACUCUCUAUCGCUGGUGCCGUCAUUGGUCUCAGGUGCGGUGGGUUGCUUGAAGUUCUCCGUUUUUUAGGGUUGGUAAUGUUCCUGGUUCUACUCUACUCAUUCUUUCUGGGUUUAUCUUUAUUCCGGAGUCUUCAACUAUCUCCGGUGACCCUGAUUUUUCCGGCGAAGCUCUCAGACGAGUAUGUGCUUUGGUUUUGCUGUCUCGUUCUUGCUUUGGGCUUUCUGAAUCGAUUGAAGCUUUCUCUGAAGUUUUUCUGGGCUCGUUUUCACUUUGUGGUUUGUUUCAUACUGAAGAUUGGAGUUCUCACUGAGUUUGAUUGAAGUUCUGAGGCUUGGUCUUCUGCUUGGGACUUGUUGUUGCUUGCUAAUUGGACUAUAUCUUCUGAAGUUUUCUGUUUGAUGUUGAGUGGAUUCCUCUCUGAGUCUGUUUGCAGCGCUGAUUCUAUCUGUAUUCUAGCUUGUUUUACAUUUGCUGAGUUUGUUUGAUUACAGUAGCUAUCUGUCAUGUUGGUUUUUCGGAUUUGCUCUUAAUUUUUCUCUGUUAUCAGUGUUUGUUUUGCUAGGGUGUAGCUUGUUCUCUCUGGCUUUGGGUCUGUACUGUUUGACAGGUUGGGUUUUAGGUGCAGCUUUGUGUUCGUUGUGUGGACAUGGUAUGUCCCUGGCCUUUCAUGGCAUCCUUUGAUGCUGUAGUGGCCAAGCCAGUGGCUGCUCCGGAGGCUGGGAAAUCGUUUCCCCAAGUCUUGUCCGGUCCCGGUGAGUUUCAUCUUGCCAACCCUCCUCUGAAGGUCGUGAUGCGGAAAACGGUGCGUAAAGGUCGAUUGUUAUUGCAUUAAGGUGAUUCGCCCCUUACCACUCAAGCUCUAAAGAUGAAAAUAGGUAAGCUUUGGCCUUCUAUUCUUAAUUGGGAAUUGACUCCGCUUGGCCGAGGCUUCUUUGAGUUCCAUUUCGACAUAGUGGAGGAUAUGCGAAAAAUUUGGGCUAUGGGGACGGUGAAUUUUAGACCUGGCUUGAUGAGUUUUUUUCUGCUGGACGAGUGACUUUGAUACUCAAUCACAAGUUCCGACUCACGCCCAGAUUUGGGUAAGGUUUUUACGCUUGCCUCAGGAAUAUUGGCGCAAGACAACUCUCUUGGAAAUUGCCUUUGGUCUUGGAACGCCUUUGAUUAUAGAUGAUGCUACUAUGCACAAGCGCUUUGGUCUCUUUGCACGUGUUUUGAUUGAUGUGGGCUUAUCCGAGCAACUGUUUGAAACUGUUAUUGUGGAACGGGAUGGACACACUUUUUCAGUUUCGGUACAAUACGAACAACAACCCUCUUUUUGCACUCAUUGUAAAAUGCUAGGACAUGAUGUCUACAACUGCUUUAAGUUGCAGUCCGGUAUUCCCAAACAUGCACAUCAGGCUACUGCUGGUCCUCACCACACUCAGAUGCAGAAUAGAAAUAACAGGAAGGGUAAUGCUCUUAUUAGGGAUGCUGGGACUUCUGCUCAACAGGGACAAGGCUCUACGCCUUCUUCUUCCUCGGCUCACACUCUCAUUUCUAAGGCUGCUCACCAGGAACAUACUUUUAUUGAUGACACCAAUUCCAAACAACAAUCUAUCCUAGUGAAUAACAAAUUCGGGCAAGGCAAGCGGCAUGGAUGUUGCCGUUUUAUGCUAUUAACAUGGAUGUUGUGAAUUUGUUCACAGAUUCAUCCUUUUUAUUUUUAGCGAAUUUGAAUUUGUAUUGUAUCGAUGUACUCUAUCAAUUUGAAUGAAUGAAUAUCGUUUAUUUUUAUCAAAAAAAAAAAUACCAUUGUACCAAAAAAAAAACAAUUACAAUACCAAUGUCAAUCUCAAAUCAAACCUAUCCUAAACAAUUAAAACGCCAACAAAGAAAACCACAAUGAUUUUAUAUAUGAUGAAAUUAAAUACUAGUUAAUUUUAAAUGUUAUGAGUGAUUGAAUAUCAAACGAGUUCACAAAAUUAAUCCAAGAAAAUUUGGUUCAAACUAUUAAAUGCUGAAUUUAAAAGAGAAAGCACCAGCAUUUAUAAUGGUUCCUCCAAUCGUCCUCGCUAUAGGGUACAUUCACUCUUCGUAAAAAAAUUCUACAACUUCUACUAUUAUGUUGUUGAAAUACACAGUCAAUUACAAAGAUUCCUUCGAUUUAUAGAUCCAACUGAUCUAAAACCUUUUAUGCUAGGUAAUUACUCUAAACUCUCGAAACUUCAAAUCUUCUUGAAGUUGAAUCUUCCAAAGUCUUCGAAUCUCAAGCAAUUUCAUGCAAUGCUUGAAAGUUCUUGUCCGAUAAUUAUAUAAUGCUAUGAACGUUGCUUCAAUUCCCUACAACUUUGAUGCCUUGAGAAACAACCCCCACUGUUACCUUUGGAAGUGAAAAGAAACUCUUAUUUUGUUUUAGAUCCUUAAUUCCCUAUCAAGAUCCUUGACAUAAACCAAUUGUUACAACAACCUAUAACACCCUAUGACACUAUAUCUCAAUUCCUACUAUGAUCCUUGAAAAAGUGUUUAAGCAAGAGUUUGUAAAAUUGAUUCAGUAAAUGAAAAAGCAAGUAUAGGUAAGUAUAUAUAGUUGAGAGAGAUAUGAACAAGUUUGAGCAAAAAAUAAACAGAAAAUGUGCCUUUGAUUCGAUUCAUUGUUUUAAUGAUUUGAAUCAUUAGUGCAAAUUUGAAAUUUGGGUAACGAUGCAGAUUGAUCUAAUGCACAUGAACAAUGACUCGAAUCGUUGAUCUCCACAUGAAGAUUGAUUCGAAUCACCAUAACUUUGAUUCGAAAAGGUGCUUUACAAAAAUUAAAAGGUGUCAUUCAAAACAAUAUAAAACAAACAAACAAACAAACAAUAUAUAUAUAUAUAUUCACUUUUUUAUGUGGAAAAUCUUUGGUUUAGCAUAUUUCUAACAUUUAUUUCUAACUUGUGCUUAGAGAGGAUAAUUGUUGCAUGGAUUGCUUUCCAAGUUCGGAUGCUCUUCAAGGUUAGUGUUCUUUUUGUCUUCCUUUCCUUUGUUAUUCUACCAAAAAACUAAAAAAAUAUAUGUAUAUUUAUUUCAAGAUUAUUUUUGAAUUUAUAUAUUUAAAAUUCAUGAAAUAAUAAUAAUAAUAAUAAUAAUAAUAAUAAUAAUAAUAUCUCAUUAAUAUAAUUUAUUUUACAUUUAAAAAAAUUAUUAAUCCAAUUUAUUUUUAAAUAUUUGAAUAUUAGUAAUAGGUACGCUGUUAUUAUCUUUAGCAAAUAUAUGUCCUCGUGAGCUUAACAAUGCAUAAAAAUAUGCAAAGUCUGAGGUUCAAACCUCGACCACCACCAAAAAAAAUCUUAAGCAAAUAUAUUAUCAUAUUUUGUUUCAUAUACUCUAUUUUGUUUGGUACAACACAGAGACUCUUACUUUCCAAUAGUAAUUUUUUUUGGCAAAUACUUUCCAAUAGUAAUAUAACCUUCUUCUUUUAUUUUUGGAACCUUCUUCUUUUAGUUUUAUUUUUGGUCAAAAUACAAUAUUCUUUUCUUUCAGACUAAAAAUACAACCUGUGGAUCAUCCGCAUAUUCUUUUUUUUAAAAGUUAAAUUAGCUCAUCUAAAUUGGCAUCGGAGGAGCACAUUCCUAAGUCUCAAGUCAUUGCUAUCAGACCAACUCAAGUGGGUUUGAUCAUCCGCAUAUUCUAAUAGUGGGGUCAUCUCUCAAAUUAUUUUAUCAAUUGAGAAGAUCCAAAUUCAUAAAAAUAAAAAAAUGAAAUGUCUCAUAACAAUUACGUGUACUUUGCUAGUUCAAAAAGACAAAAAGAAAAAAUUUCAUGUUAUCGACAUAACUUUUUUGUCUUACUCAAGAACAAGACAGCCAACAACAACACACAAGUAUGUGUGUUAAACCGAAUAAUAAUAAUAUGAACCUAACAUAACGAAUUUAUGAAAACAAAGGCUGAGAUUUGCUAGGAUAAAGGAUGCCGAAGCGUAAGAACUAAGAUGCUAAGGACAAAAAUCCGUUAUUUUUUCUCUGCUUUGGAAAUAUCACUGCCACCCUUUUCAAUUUUUGUGGUAAUAUGGACACAAAGACAAUAGCUUAAUAACAAUCACUCUAGUAUCUCUAUAUUUCAAUUUUUUUUAAGUAGUAUCGUGAUUAGAAUGACACAUCUUUGUAUGGAGAAGUAAAAAGUUUUGGAUUUAAACUCAUACUCUUGCAUAUCAACGUUCUUGCGACUAUCAACUAAAUUAUUUCUUCCUUCUUAAGUGAACAAAUGUUCUAUAUAUACAUGUGUGCAUAUAUUUCUAUUGAUAGGGGUGCAACAGGUCAGUUUGGAUUGAUUUUUGAGAGAAAUAAAUCGAAACCAAUAAAAAUAGUUGGUUUGGUUCGAGUUUUGUAAUAUUUUCUUGCAAAAUUCAAACCAAAUCAAAAUGGUAAAGAAUGAGUUGGUUUGACUUCGUUCAAUCGGGUUGAUGUUUUUAAAAAUCUAAGAAACUUGUUUUAAAAAAUCUAUAAAAAAAAAAAAAUUAUGAUGUAAUUAAUGUAGUAUAAAAAAAUUAUGGUUUAUGAUAGAACAUUAUGAUGUAAUUUGAUUCAUAUAAUCGACCCUACUUAUUGGUGUGGUUCUUAUACCCCUGCCAUUUGUUCUUUAAUACAAGAAGAAACAACAAAAAUAAAAAAUAAAACGAAAGAGACUUUUUUUUAAUAAGACCAGAAGACUUAUUCAAUGCAGUCAUUUAAAAAGUUUGUACUAAAGUAACCUUCACAUUACAUUUUUUUUUAAUCAGGUAUCUUCAGCACGCAACUGCGGAGAUUAAUCAAUCUAGUCUUGUAGGACUCAAAUGGGCGGCAAAUUCUACCUAAAAAAUUUAACGUUGUUGUAUACUCAAGACUGAAUUCAAACUCAGAACCUUAGUUAAGCUAGAAGAGACACGCACCAUUUCAUUUAAGUGCUCUUGGGUACAUUAAUUGCAUUUUUAUUAAAUACAAAAGAGUAUAAAAUUUAUUUGAUCAAUAAAUAUACCUUAUAAUAUGCAUUUUAUUUUAUAUUUGGGAGUGAAAAGGUAUUAUAUAAAGGAGCAAAGAGAGUAUGACACAGGACUCAAAUCAUCUCAAAGUAGGGAAGAAAAACACACAGAUGGAUUUCCUUGUAGUGUUUCUGUUUCUAUCUCUUUCAAUCUCUUGUGCUUCUUCUACUUCAGUUGAGGAGAGUUUCAUGCAGUGCAUGACAACCAUAGUUAGUAGCUAUUCUGAAUCCACUGAAAAAACAGUGUUUACCAACUCACCCUUGUAUCCACAAGUAUUGGAAUCAUUGAAACAAAAUCCAAGAUGGGUGAACUCAUCAAGCAAACCUCUUCUCAUUAUGACACCUUCUCAUGAAUCAGAAAUUCAAUCAGCCAUACUAUGCAGCAAAGAGAUUGGUGUGCAGAUUAGGGUUGUUAGUGGUGGCCAUGAUUAUGAAGGACUAUCUUAUCUUUGUAAGACACCCUUUAUCAUGAUUGAUCUCAUCAACAUCCGUUUGAUCGACAUUAAUCUUGCCGAUGAAUCUGCUUGGAUUCAGGCUGGUGCAACAUUAGGUGAACUUUACUAUAAAAUCUCCAAAGCAAGUAAAGUUCAUGGAUUCCCCUCAGGUGAAUUAGUUUGACUUUUUGAGACUAUCUACUAGCACAACCAUUUAUGAGACGGUUCGAGAGAGCUUCUGAAAAUAGCUUAUGACUUGUUCAUAAGCUAUUUUCCGCUUAUUUAUAUAAGCUCUCAAAGAUUGCCUGUGAAAAUAGUCUAGACUUUAUUUUAUCUUGUUAUAAAAAUUACUUAUUUAUAAGGGCUUAGUUAAGUUGUUUUUCCAAACAGGGUUAUGUCCAAGCGUUGGAAUAGGCGGUCACAUAAGUGGAGGUGGAUUCGGUACCUUGUUUAGGAAACAUGGUCUAGCAGCAGAUCAUGUUCUUGAUGCUUACCUAAUAGAUGUAAAUGGAAGGAUUCUUAAUAGAAAAUCAAUGGGAGAAGAUGUUUUUUGGGCCAUUAGAGGAGGUAGUGCUUCUAGUUUUGGAGUCAUUCUUGCAUGGAAGAUAAGGUUGGUUAGAGUUCCAUCUAUUGUUACUGUCUUCACCAUUCAAAAAACUCUGGAAGAAGGAGCAACAAAACUCAUUCAUAGAUGGCAAUUCAUAGCAGAUAAAUUGCAUAAAGAUCUUUUAAUUAGAAUAGUUGCUCAAACUAAUGGUGCAAAUUCAAUAACAAUCCAAACCAUGUUUAACUCUCUCUUCCUUGGAAGAAAAAAAAACUUAAUCACAAUAAUGAAUGAGAGUUUCCCUGAAUUAGGGUUGCAGGAAAAAGACUGCAUUGAAAUGAGUUGGAUUCAAUCAGUUUUGUAUUUUGCAGGAUUCAAAAAAUAUGAUCCUAUAGAACUCUUGCUAAACAGAAUUGUAGCCUACAAAAGCCCAUUCAAAGCCAAAUCUGAUUAUGUAAAAGUGCCUAUACCAGAAACUGGUUUAGAAGGUAUUUGGAAAAUGCUUCUAAAAGAAGACACAUUAGCAUUACUUAUAAUGGAGCCAUAUGGUGGAAAAAUGAGUGAAAUUUCAGAAUCUGAAAUCCCUUUUCCACACAGAAAAGGAAACUUGUACAACAUACAAUACAUGGUUAAGUGGGAAGUGAAUAGCAUUGAAGAGUCCAACAAACAUAUAAAGUGGAUGAAAAAACUUUAUAGAUACAUGACUCCUUAUGUUUCAAAGUCUCCAAGAGCUGCAUAUUACAACUAUAGGGAUCUUGAUAUAGGUAGGAACAAGCAUUUUAACACAAGCUACUCAGAAGCAAGUGUUUGGGGCAUCAAGUACUUUAAGGGAAACUUUAAGCGUUUGGCACAAAUUAAGACAAUAUUUGAUCCCCAAAACUUUUUCAGGAAUGAGCAGAGUAUUCCUCUACUAAAUUCCAUUACUCCUUCACAUAGAGGUGGUGGAAAUAAGUAGUAGCACCUAGAACCUUUGUGCAAUGUUUUAAUAUUACUCUUGCUUCGAUAAACAAGUAAAUUAAGCGCUUACAUUAUUUUCUAUUAUAAUGUUAGUGCCUAUGUAAGUUAUUUCUAUAGCAGCAAAGAGAUAAAAUAAAAUCAAACUAUUUUCAUAUAAGCAAUAAGCUAUUUUCAUAACUUGUCUUGGAGAGCUUAUGAAAAUAAGUUGAAUAGGCCUAUGCGCAUUUCGUAAGUUGUAUCCAUAAACCCUCACAAACAGUUUCACUGUGCUUAUGCUAGUUGGUAAGCUCAAAUAAAUUAAUCUAACCUGAACCAUUGUGGUUAUACGUGGAGAAGAACUAUAUACCUAGUAUAUUCUUAGAACAACUAUCAUGUUAAUCUUCUGCUAUGCUUUUGUAAUAAACCCAAGCCAGUAGAAUUUACUGCCUCUGCAGCCUUUUCGUAAGAUCCUAGAGAAUCCAAAUUAUAUGCCCUUUUUAAAUAACUAAAUGAAUGUUAUAAAGUUUUGCUUUGGUCUUGCCGUCUUUGGUCUUCUACAGGUAACAAACUAUUCAAAAUAACUUAUGAGGGGACCUCGACGAGUGUGAGGACAUAGAGUGGAGCCACAAAAGAUUUUCCACUACAAUGGGUCAAUUUUAAGCUCUUUCUUUUUACAUUAGUUUUGAACAUACUUACGAAACACAUUGAAGAGCCAACAUUGAGAUGCAUGCUUUUUGCAGAUGAUAUGGUCCUACUACUUGAAGAAUCGAGGAAGAAAUUAAAUGGGAGAUGAGAGGCUUGAAGAUAAGCCUAAAAAGCACAUGGCUUCCGCCAAAGAAGCAAGACAGAGUAUAUUGAAUAAAACUUUAGCAAAAGACAGCAUUUAUAUCCUAGAUGUGAAAGUUUGUAAUAAUCCCAUUCCACGGCUUACACAACUUAAAUAUCUUGAGUCAAUAGUGUAAACUGACGGUCUCAGGUGGCUAAAUUGGAGGAUCAUCCGAGGUAUUUUAUGUGAUACAAAAAUAAUGCUCAAAUUGAAGACAAAAUGUUAUCGUACAGUUGUAACACCACCUAUAUUGUAUGACACAAAGUGUUGAGCAGCAAAAAUAAAACUACCCCUAGAAUAAAAUAUGCAUUGCAUGACUGAGUAUAGUGUUGAAUGUCCAGUAAGACUAGACAAAUAGGAUUAAAAAUGACAAUAUUAGAGAGUUGAGGUAACACAUGUCUGAUAAGACUUGACUUAAGAAAAACCGGUAGAUUCUAUAGUAAAAAGAAAAACAUCAAAUGAAGGGUAAUCAAAUCCCAAGAGGCAAAGGAAGAUCUAGAAAAAUUAUUAGAGAAAUUAUUAAGAACGACCUAGAUAUUAAUGAGUUGGAUUGGGAUGUAUAUUAUAUAUGGCAGAUUAUUGUGAUGUCUAUUGAUCGAUUUAGUUGACCCUAGAGGCUGGUUGUUGUUCUUAAAAAUCUUAACUAGAAAUGAUAGUACUAACAAACCUUGAAUUAUAAUACAUUGCUUAUCAUGUGCUAAGACAACCAUUCACUGAUUAACUAAAAACUUAUAAAAUAAGGGGAUCCAUGAUUUAAGAAAAACUACAACAAAGUGAACUACUACAUGUUUUGCAAAAUCAUUUGCCGCCAUAAUCUACACCAGAUAUGUCAAAAAGCUACCCUUCUAAGCUAUCCGUUUUCUCACGGGGAAAUUCUCUGUAUAAAGAAAAAUAAAAUCAACUAUAACAAGAAUAAAGGCAAAAGAAAAAGAUCUGAGGAUUCCAUAUCAAAGAGUCCAUUGAGGAGCUGAACCGUUGGAUUUGUACUUCAACAUUUCAAUCCUAUAUCUUUCUUUAUCUCUCAACCUUUUCUCCUGAUAAACCUGCAUUAAAUUAACAAAAAAUGGUGCAAAAUAGUCUAAGAUAAAUAAUACCAAAAUAUAAGUUCUAACAGAUAAGAGCAACUUCAUGUCUUUGUUCUGUUUUUGACAUGCAAAUAUGUAUUUUGAUUCUAUAGUUUGCAUGCAUCUUUUUCACUAAAAAAUUGAGUUUAAUUGAUAUGCAUUGUGAGUAUAAAAAACGUAAACACAUGUAUGCAAUUACAUCUCACCAUAUAGAUAAUUAUGGAGAUAUUUUAGAAACUAACAUAGCACAAAGUGGCAUAAUGAUGAGAUAUGAAUGGAUGAAUGUGAACUCUUUUACACUCACACAACAUACUAAUUAAAUCGAAGAAAAGAUUAUAACUACAAGUGUAUCCAUGCUAUUAUAGCUCAUUUUCAUAUAGAACUAAGAAGCCAUUUUUUCAUAAGUAGAAUUUGAAAGUGGUUAUUUAUCAUAAAUAACCUCCUAAUCUUUCUACAGGGGAACCUCUUAAGAAGCCAGUAGAAAUAGUUAGGUCUGUAUACACUGUAAAGCCUGUGGGAGCAAUCUCAAAUGCUGAAAAGACAACAUUAUAACUAUGGCUACAACUAGAAAAGGGCCUGCUACUUUAUAAUCUUGUACAGACCUUAACAUGUUACUUCCUUUCACACACUCCAAAUCUAUAAAUGUUUUAAGGAAUUCCAUGAAUCCUACUUUUGGCUUUUCCAAGGAACAGCAAGGCAGUUUCGCAAAUGACAGGCUAAGGAUUUGUCAAAUUUCGGUUUGUUACAAAAAAUAGAUCACUAGGAAACAGUGUUGCCAAUCACGGAUUGCAAAAAAUGUUAGUUUGAUCAAAUUCCGCUACGCAGCAAUGCAAUAGCUAUUUAACAACACUGCUUUGCGCCUAGCUUAGUUUGCAAAUAAGAGAACAAAUGUAUUUUUUACAAGUUAUAGAAAAUUUAAACAAGCCAGAGGCAAAUAUGUCAAGUUACAAAAAGAAAAAGGAAUCUGCAGCAGAACAAAAGUCAAUACUCUUACUACAUCAACGAUAAAAAGUGUAAGUCUAUACCUGUCUUUCUGGGUCUGUCAGAUUCCUCCUCAUAAACCCAAUUUUCCUGCUAAUUGAUCCUUCUUGCCUGCAAAAUGAGGGCUUUAGCCUGGCAUAAUUCUCAUUAAAAAAGAAAUUGUAACCACUCCUAUUUGAUUUCAGUCGAUAUAAUCACAUAAUGACAAUCUUGAUUUCUUUUGGUUGAAAUAUGUGUACCUUCAAUAGAAGAACCCUUAGAUGCAUUACUUGAAACAUGAUACAGGACACCUUUCAGCUGUUCAGAACCCAGGUCUACCGUAACUAUAUAUCCGUCAUCAAAUUUCAUGUCAAUUGUUCCACGCACUGAAGAACCAAGUGUCUGUGCUGGACUAAUUGGACUAACUGCAUAUAAGAAAGCAAAUCUUUACCACAUAUAAAUGGAAAUUAUAUCCACUUACCAACAUAGAUUAGGACUCUGUUAGGAUAAACAACUUAACUAAGCGCUUAUAGCAUAAGGUCUUAUUAUUUAAGUGUUUAUGUAUACAUACGCUACUUCUAUUAUGAAAGAUAAAACAAAGUCAAACUGUUUUCAUAUAAGCUAUAAGCUGUUUUCAUUAGCUAUCUUGGAUAGUUUAAGGAAAAAAGCUGAAAAGAGUUUAUGAACAUAUCAUAAGUUGUUUCCAAUUUCCAUAAGCUCUCCCAAACAGUUCCCUAUGUGCUUAUGGCAGUAAAUAAUCUUGAAUAAGUCAAUCCAAAGCUUUAUCACACUAGGUAAGGUCAGCUACUUAGAUCAAACGACGUCGUAAUGUUCUAUCAUAAGUUGUGUUGAUAGUAAAUCUUUCCUCAAAGAUUAGAUGUACACAAAGCUAAAAAAAAUGUCAAGUCCUAAAUUAAAGAAACAAAACAUCUAAGAAUGGUUAUUUGUUUCGCAACUACCAGUUUCAAAAUAAAAGAAGCAGAUAUUUAGUAAAUAUAUUAUUCCCAUAACAAGAGGAAAAAAAAAUCAAUCAAAAAGCAUGCUCCUUACUUCUAUUUCCACAUCACAGAAAAAUAUUUCACAUAAUAGCUGUUUGUAAGUGUUAUCUUCGACUUGCUUAAUGUUGACGACAAUAUGUAUAACCUAACUCAUGAUGGAUGUACGUCAAAAAAAGAAACUCAUGAUGGAUGUAUAGUCAAUAUUAUUGGCAAAACAAAGCUGCAGACAAUUGUAUGUUUACAAGUUUUUAAGCCAUGUAACCUGUUAGCACAUUCGGUUUAUAGUCUUAUUGUCGGUGAGCUUCAGCUUGUACAAUUAGUACCAAACACCACAUAAAAACAUAGAAAAAUAGCCAAUCAUUCCAUCACAAAUCACAUGUCAGCGAACAUCACAAAAACUGUAUCAUUGAUCCACAACAAAUGUCAGAGGAACAAGACACAAAUUAUACCCCUAUCUCUGCUGCUAUUGUAAGAAGCUAGAGGCAUUGCUUUAAGUAAAAAGACAUAUAGAUACAAACUAAUGUUUGAAGCAUCAAGCAUUAAUAAAAUUUAAAUGAUUCAUUGACUUACCCUGGACAGGUGAAUCAUUGAUAGCAGCACCGUCCGUAUUCGUUGUGAAGCUAUUGGCAACGUUCCCACUCAAAGCAUCUGAAUAUAGGAAAUUGUUGAGUGGUAAAAGAUGAAAUUUUCAAAACAUAAUUACAGGGGGAAAAGGUAGUAUCUUUACUAACCAGGUGUUGAGGGAGGGACUUGCUUGCAAAAAUAAUACGCUUGCUCAAAAUGAUAAAGCAACGAUAGAUAGGUCUUGCGCACCAUGAAUGAUCCGCUUGUUAUGGUAUCUCGGAAGUUGAAGCUCAUUAUUACUUCCUUCCAUUUACGAUCUACAAUUACCUACAUAAAUUUAAGAAAAAGAUCAGAGGAGUCAUUGUAGAAAAGUUGAAUUGAAGAGAAAAAUCUCAAGAUCAUUGAGCUGCAUCAUACAUAAACUCCAAACUGAAAAUCUGUUUUAAUCAACAUCAAAUCUGCUGAAAAGACCUAUAUCCUUUAUCUUUGUUCCUACGGGCGAAAGUAAAGAAAACAUGUAUGUUUCAUGAGACAAGGAGACUGUUUUUCACAAUUACUUGAGAAGUAUACAAUGCAUACCUUUUCAAUACCACCACGAGAUGUUACUUCAACGAAGAGGUGAUGCAGAUCUAGUGGCUUCCCCCCUAUAGUAGGAAUCCUACACAAACACAGAGGAAAACAUUAUUAUUAGGAUCAUAGAUACAUUUGAAUUGUAUCUCGAUUUAAAACAAAAACUGAACACAACGAAUAUGAAUCGUUGGUGUGUAUCAUUUUUGGACAUGAAUCCAGAUUCAUCAAGAUAAAUCCUGUUUCACAAGACAUGAAUUCAGAAUCAUUAAGAUAGAUCCUAAUUCAUUCAGAUAAAUCCUGAUUCACUAUGAUAAAUCCCGAUUCAUUUUAAUGAAUUACAACAGCAACCUAAACUUUUUAUACCCAAUCAUGUUUCUUUUGUCAUAUGAUUUAUCACUUGAAAAUCUUGAAUUAUUCUUAGGUUCGUAUAAGAUAUGUCAACCUAUAUUUUUUGUGUACUUAAAAAUAUCAUAUUUUAUUGAUCAUGUAUCUUGCGAAUUAUAAUACGACUCGAUUCACAGUCCAAAAAAUAGGUUUCCGAUUCACAAUCUCAAUCAGAUCUGAAUCAGGAUUUGUUAAGAAUGGGAAUACCAAAUUAUACUAUCCAAUAAAAUACAAUUUUUACAUUUCAUCAUCUCAAGCAAAUUCUCUCUAGCAGCAACUAAGUGAUAACUGGGCAAGCGAGAAAACACAAAAAGCAAAAAAGAUUACCCAUCAUACAAAUGAAAUUGACCUAACCCACAAAAUCAAAAAACCAAGAAUUAGCAGAAAAAACACUAAAAAAUGGUAACUUUAAACAACAAAUAUACUAGAUCGAUGAGCAAGCUGUGGUACAAAAAGGGCUUUUUUUUGUUAUGAAAAAAUUGAACAAACACACUUACUCUAAUUUGAUACCGAGCGAAUCGUGAAAAGAUUGAAGUUUUUCCCGGAAGAGGUUAGCAUCACGAACAAGGUCAGAGUAGAGAGUGGUUGGAGGAGGACAAGGGUUUGUGAGUUCAGUCUCACGCCGAUUUUGGUUUUGAUUCUGGUUACUUGUCAUUUUUAUGGAUUUCGAACUCAACUCAAAUUCACAAUACCAAAUACUCAAUUCCCUUUCUUACAGUAACCUAAAACGAUACCAUACGGUUAUAAACGCACACACACUUUACAUACCGCAUUUAUUAUGAUAUUAUCUGUCAAAAAAUAAGCUAUAUUAUUUAUGCUUUUCGUCCCUGCCAUUUAAGCGAAUUUUAAUUUUAGUUCCUGUGAAAAACAAUUCUUCAUAUUCUACCCGCACAAUAUCAAAUUUCACUUAUAUCGACCCCUCAUUUACACGUGUCACUAAAUAACUAUGACAUGACAUGGAUUUGACAAUUGUACAACGGUCACGCGUGCAGGUGAUGUUGUCUCACCCUUACUUGGUUGACUCAACAAUAAAAAAAAUAAAAAGACAAAAUUGAAAGCCCCUUUAUGAACCCUAACAUUAAAUAUUCAAAAUCACCCAACCAGGGAUUAGUCCUAGCCGGUUAAAAGGGUUGAAGUUGUGGGAUACCCAGGUGCGAAAGGCUCUCAUUAUGGUGGGUGAAAAAUUGUCUUUUAAAAGUAAAAAACUGCCUCUUCGUGAGAGAGAGGAACAGCAAAAACAGCACCUAGAGCACUGAAUAUAAGUUCUUUUUUUUUUGUCCAUAGACCAAGUGGCAAACACUAUACAUACAACUCGCAUACACAAUAGUGAUGUCCCGGGUUCGAACUCAGGUGAAGUGUCUAGCCUACCAAUAUCAGCAUUGUCAAUUAAGCUACUGCUAUGGACAGAGCAUUGUAUAAAAGUUCUUUUAAAAGAAAAAAAAAAAAAAAAAAAAUCACCAACAGAAGCAAAUUCUCUCUAGCAAGAACUAAGUGAUAAUUGGGCAAAUAAAAAUACACAAAAAGCACACAAAUUUACACAUUAAACAAACAAAAUUGACCUAACCCACAAAACCAAAACCCAAUAAUUUGCAGAAAAAAACACUAAAAAUUGGAAAUUGAAACAAAAAAAUGAAAGAGAAGCACACUUACUUUAAUUUGGUACCAAGCGAAUCAUGAAAAGAUUGAAGCUUUUGUUGGAAGAGAUUAGAAUCACGAACAAGAUCAGAGUAAGGUGCGGUUGGAGGAGGAUAAGGGUUUGUGUUUGAUUUUGAUUCACUCUCACACUGAUUUUGAUUUGGAUUUUGAUUUUGAUUUUGAUUUUGAUUAAUUGACAUUUUUAUUUCUAAAUCCUAUAAUAAUCUAUGUAUGCAUUCACACUACAAAGUACUCAAUUCACUUUCUUACAUUAAUUAAUCUAAAACCAUAUCAUAUCAUACGGUUUAUAAAAACACACUUUAUAUACUGCAUGUCAUAUGAUAUGACGAUCUAUCGGAAAAUAUAUAAUGAUACGAUACAACAUUAAUCAUGGAAAAAAUGAUCGUACUGUUUAUUUUUGAAAUAAUUUAAUAGAGAAAAAAAUAUGAUUUUAUUACAUUCAUUUGAUAAAUGUUAAGAAAAUACUAUUUUUAAUUACUGUUUUUAAUUCAUGGAGAUUGAGUCAUUCGGAAGAGAUUAGACACUCGUAAUAAAUAUGGACAAAGAAAUAUAAUUAUAUUUAGCGUCGGACACAAAUCUUUUUUCGGGCCUAAAGAAAAGAAAACUAUGAAAAAAUUAGUCAAUCCGAUAACUAAAUAUCGAAAAGGAUCCGUCAACAUAAUAAAAUCUAAUAGUGGAGUGGGAGAAGCUACUUCAUCAAAGUAUCAUUAUUAAUAGCACCAAAUAUGGCUAAAUAAUGAGUGCGUUAAUUUCCUUUCGGUAAGGUGUAAGUGAAGGAAACCAACCAAGGAAUAAAGAAGAGCAUUCUAAUGAGAGAAAGAAACUUGAAGAAGGUAGAUGAAAGAACUUUUUUUUUUUAGGUUUAAUUGCACUUUUGAACCCCUAUCUUUCCAAAAGUUGUGGUUAUGGACCCCUAACUAAUUUAAAUACAAAACAGCCUUCUAUGUUUUGAUUCUUUGGCAGUUUUGGACCCCCAAGGCAAAAAAAAAAUUACAUGUGGCACCUCACUUAGAGUGUCACGUCAGCGUUGACCGAGUCAACAAUGGACUGGGGUCCAAAACUGCCAAAGAAUCAAAACAUAGGGGGCUGUUUUGUAUUUAAAUUAGUUAGGAGUCUAUAACCGCAAUUUUUGGAAAGAUAGGGGUCCAAAAGUGCAAUUAAUCAUCAAUCAAAUCCAAAGGGGUACGUGAGUUAGAUUCUAAAAUAAUAGACAUAUAGCAUAGAUCCCAAGUCAAUUGAAGGCCCUACCAAAUCAUUGAGAGUUCAACCAACAUAUUAGACGCUUUUCCACGAGAGCUAGAAAAUUCUUGAAUCUAACUGUCAUUAUUAUUUCUCAAGAGACCUCCAAAUUCAGCAUUACAUGAAUUACCAAAAGAGAAACCAUUAACUAUGAUGUAACCAUCUCCAUGGGGAUACCAUCGAACUUGACGAUUAUAGGAUGGUUAUUACUUAUUAGAGCAACCAAGAGCGUGAACCAUGGAAAAGAUAACCAUUAACCAAAUUUCAAGUUUCUUUCUUCAUGUUUUAAAGAAUUUCUUCAUUCAUGUUCCUCAAAAUCUCAUACCAAAUUACUAUGAGAAGUAGUCGUGCCUUAUUCAUAGCAUGUUGCUUAAACUAAACUUUGCAAUCAUUUGAGAAGAAAUCAUUCAACUAAGUGGAAUAAAAAUACCUAUAAACAGACAUUGUAAUAGAGCAAUCUCAAAGAGUAAGCAUAUCAUCCUCAACAAUAGCUCUACAUCUAUAACAUGUCGUAUUGUUUGUGAGAUGUCUCAAACCUCUCGAAGCAUUUGUAGGAAGACUACCUUGCUUCACCAACAAAAAAUGCUUAAGGUUCUCUGAUAUUGGUAAACUCCAAAUCCACUUCCAACAAAUAAUUGGCAUGAUCUAUUGAUUGGACAAGCAAUCAAGCCACAUGUAGCCCUGAAUGACUGAGUAAAUGCUAUUAUGGUAACUUCUCCAAAUAAGCUUAUCAUCGAUAUCAUGGCCAAUGUUUAUAUUGUGAAUGUAAUCUUGAUAGAAAGGAUGGAGUUAAGUAUACAAAAUGUUGAAGUUCCAAACCUCGUUCUCAACAAUAUCACAGACAAAGAUUGAUGUCAUUGAUGUGUGUUGGAACAUUGGUGUGAAAAUGGAAAGAAAUUGGAAGGUUGGAAGUUAAACACCAAGUUAUUAAAUUUUGAUUAGUGUUGUGUAAAUUGAAAAAAAUAGAGUGUGGGGGACCCACAUAAAAUAGAACACAUCAGUAGUGUUUAAAUAGCAGUAUUUAAUUUUACAUAUCUGAUAAUGAUGAAAAUAAAAUUAUUAUUAUUCUUUAUUCAUGGAUAUCACUUCCCAUAAUUUUAGGUUUUGUUGUGAUAUGAUUGAGAAUUCAACUGAAUUUUCUAUCUUUCCUUCAUUAGUUUGGAACAUUGGUUUGUUUCUUUUUGAACUUAUCCAAUUAGUUUGUUACUUGAGCUGAUCUAUGGGUUGCUUAAUUUUUAAGUUUACUUAAUUAUUAAGUUUCUUCAAAUCAGUUACAAACUCUCCCUGUAAAAGGAGAGCUCAUCUAGUUCAAAAAACACACCAAAGAGUUUCAUUGAGUUGUCGGAAACUCUUUCUCUCUUCUCCCUUUCUUGACUUGUGUUGACGAGUCUUUCUUCUCUUCAUCUCCGUUUAAUGUCCCUUCGAAAUUAAGAAUGGUCUUAAAGCAUAGUCCCUUCAAUAAUAUAUGUCUCUUCGGAAUAAAGAGUACUUUUAAGAUCAUGGUCCCUGUUUGGAAUAACAAUGUCCCGUCGAAAUUAAGAAUGAUCUUAACGGUAUAUAUAAAAAGUAUUUCAACAUUUUUCUAUUUGAGGAGAAAUGGUGGUAUCAUCAUAUUUGAGUGGUCGUAGUGCCAUAUUGAUGUUUUGAAGAAAUUAAAGUUAGAACGGUGGCAACACCAUAUUUGAGUGGUCUCAACACCAUAAUAGAGUGGUAACAAUACCAUAUAAAAGUGGUUUCAGUAUUAAAGAGUGGUCUUAGUACCAUAUUUGAGGGUGUAAUUCUCGAAGGGUUUUCUACAGUACAGUAGUUAACCGCACAAUUGUAGAUGGGCUUGUUUUAUCUUAGUGCCACUAAACGUCUUAAAAAGAGCGACCUGGUCGUGACUCAAUCUAGUGACAACUUCGAUAAAUAAUAGAAUUUAAAAAUUCAAAUACAACAGUUUAAAAAUCCAAAAACAACAAUAUAAAUAUAAGGCACGACAUUGCAAAGAAAACUAUCAUCAAUACAUUUGUCAUACCAUAUAGAAACAUGGUCUCUACCAACCUUACAAUGAAACCAGUCCCAAGGAUCUCCACCACUUUAGCUAUAGCACACAAGCUACAAGAAUCUCCUUGUUUAAAAGAAGUGUGCACAAUAUGAUUAUCAAACAAGUAUUUUAUUGUCAACGUUUGUGCCCAAAGCUUUUGUGCUUGAUGUAAAAUGUCUCAAAUAUGUUUGUCAAGUAAUGAUGGGACAUAAAUAUAACAAAGAAAAUAAAAAUAAAACGAACAAGAAAAUAAACUCAUCUGAUGUUGAGAUUCAUUUUUAAGGCUUGACAAAAGAAAUAUUCAUUUUAAUUUAAGACUAAUUUUUUUUUACAACGUAAAUUAUUUUUUUUUUUGACACAACGUAAAAAUUGUUGUUGACUUUUUUUACUUAAAAUUAUUGCGGAUAGAUAAAGAUUUAAUUCAUUUUAAGAGUACUAAUUUAGUAAAAUAUACUUUUUUUUUUAAACCCUCCAGAAUACUACAUUUUAUUUUUAAGAAAAUGACCUCUGGUAAUCUAGAAUCAUUUUCAAAGAGGUGACAUUAGGUGGAGCUCAUUAAUCACUUGAGGCUAAUUACUUGGUUAAUGAGCUCUUUAUCUUUAAUAAUUCAUCUAAUUUUACAUCCAAUGUCAACAUGAAAAUGUUAACCAUUUUAAUAAUUUAUCGUGUUAUUUGACAACAAUAUUUCACACUUAACAAGUCAGCUCUAGUUUUCUUUCUCUAUAUGUUCUCUCUUCCAUUUUCUUCAUUGAUAAGGUGGUUUUGAAUCAAUUUUUUUACCCGAAAUCACCUUAUCUUCACCUUUUUCUCCUUAUUUUAAUUUAAAUUAAAUAAUUGUCUUCACAUUGAUCUAGUUUUGUUUUCUCAUUGUGUGCGGCGUUGUGUUGUUCGUCAUUGCGGUGUUGUUUGAUUAUCCAUCUUGUCGUGGUGUUCGUUUGAUUUCUAUUGAAAGACCGAUUUCAGUCAAUUAUAUAUUCAACAAUGAUUUGGGUGUCAACAUUGUAUUAUUUGUGAGCAUUUAGUCGUAGUUAAUUUUUGGCCUUCCAUUGUAUCAUUUUUGCUAUUUGUUAAUUAAAAAUGUAAAUGAAUAAUACCAAAAAAAUAUGUGAUAAAGAGUAUGUUUAUCCUAAACAUUUUUCAAUUUGCAUUCACAACAAUAUUACAAAAUACUGGUCAAAAGAAAAACAAACUAAAACUGCAACAAAAAUGGAGUACAUGCUUAUGCAAACAAUAGAGCUGGACAUUGACCACAUAAAACAAAAACCAUAGUAGCAAAUUUUUGGUAUCCUAUGUUGCUCUCCUAUAAAAGGGUGGAAGGUCUUCUUAUUUUGUAAAAAACAAAAAAACCACUACAUACAUUGUUUCACCACCUUUCACUUUGCUCUCUUUCAUUUUUGCUUACUUGUUUGCUACUUUUUUUUUUUGGUUCUGAUCUGAGUGUUCUAGAUCUCUUAUAUUGUAUUUGCUUACCUUUUUAUUAUAUUUUUAGGACUUCUGUUUUAUUCCAAAUUUCAUUGUCAAAUGUAAAUUUUAACUUUGCUUGAUUUUGCUCCUUUGUUCUUUAAUUUUUUUAUCACGUGUUUUAUUUUAAUUUUUCUAGAAUAACUUGUUCUUUAUUUUUGUGUUGCUUGAUAUGUGUUCUGUUCCUGUUUUUGUUUGGCUAGAUCGUUUAUAUUUCGCUUGAUUUGGCUAGUCCCUUCACCGUUAUGGAUUAUAUUCUGUUUGAGAUUACAAGCGGUUAAGGUGGAAGUAAAACCCGAAUGUUUAUACGACCUCUAUUAAGAAAGCGGUAUCACAAAUAUAUCUUUUUUGAAUAAGGUAAAAUUGGUUUUUUAUUAUGUGUUAAGUCUGUUUAUAUAUACAAGAAUAACAUUGUCAAGGUAACGUCCGUUAUUAAUUAUGUGUUGGUCUAUUUAUAUUUAAGACCAACAUCUAAUUUAAAAUUAACGUUGCUUUAUGCAAUGUUAGUUUUUAAUUACGUGUUUGUCUGUUUAUAUAUGAGACCAACAUCUAAUUUAAAAUUAAUAUUGUCUAAGCGGUUUUUCUUAUAAAUAUAUUUUGUGAAUUUGUUUUCUCAUUUAAGCUACAACAAAACUGAACUUUCAUACGCAUGAUAAUUUAUCAUUGAUUGGAAUGAACUACAAUACAUAAAAUAAGUUAUCACUAAUGAGAUUGAACUAUCAUAUAUAAGAUAAGUUGUCAUUGAUAAGAUUUAAUAUUUAAAUAUACCCAAGAUAAGUUGUUGUUGAUUUACGAUUUCAAAAUAACUUUAAUACAUAUGAUAAAUUGUUAUUGUUUAGAUUUAUCUAUCAUACACGAGAUAAGUCUUCAACAAGAAAAAGAACAUGUUAAAAAACAAGUUAUAAAAAUGACUAUCAUUUUAAACAAUAUUUUUUUCUAAAACGGUAGACCAAAACACAAUGAUUUGCUUACAUAUGAUUUUUAUAUUUAAAUAUUGAUGUUAAUAUUUUUUUCCUUUUGUAACCUUAUUAAUUAUGUAUUUAUCUUUUUUUUAAAGAAAAUAUAUUGCAUAAUACAUAAAUUCUUGUAUAAUAUCAUGUGUGAAUUAUUUGAAUAAUCUCAACAACGUGUGAAUUAUUUAAAAAUUCUUGUAGAAACAUUGAAAUUUUGUUUUUGUUUUUGUUCAAUCAUGGAAAGUAGUGCAAUGAAUGAUUUCAUCUCUCUCUCUAUCUUUUAUUAUGGAACUUCAAACUAAUCUAAUUCAAUUUUAUUGUGCUCAAGAAAUAUUUUAGGCAUCAACCGAUAAACCGCAAGGUGUAGUUCGGUGCUAGAACUAUAAGAUUGAACAAGAGUUUUGAAACUUGAAAAUGGUCUAAAUCGUCUUAAGGUGAUAUAGGGUAAUUGAACUAAAUGAAUUUUAGUAAUAUAACAACCAUGAAACUAGAAGGCUAUAUUGGUUUAAGAUACAAUUUUGUACCUUCAAAAGGAAGUCGGUCACCUUAGUUUACCCCUUCUCUUUUUGUUUUUGUUUCCUUUUAAUUUUAUAUAUCUAAGGUGUUACAGUUGAUUCUCCCUCUGCACCCCAUUUGCCGGAAAAAAAAAAAUUUGAUUUUGAUUUCCAUAAUAAUAUAAAGAAUUGGGAUUUAAUUUUCUAUUAUUGUGAUGAAAUCAUUAAUUCCAAAGAGUUUCUUUUAUUGUUUAUUUUCUAAAAACUAAAACAGAAAACCUUCAAAUAUCAAAUCUUUUCUAGCUAAACAACUUAGAACAUACAUUUAAUACUCAAGUCUAUGUAAGAUCUAUACUUUUAUUUUACGAUAAAACAACGUAUUUGUGGGUGUCAUACCCUAAAUUUUGACCACUUUUCUCUAUUCUUACCUAUUUUAUUCGUAUUUUUAAAGUCAGGAAUUUUCGUCGUUUAAGACGAAAUUUCGGCAAAGAGGGUAUUUUAAAAUACCUCAUUUUUUAUUCCGAGUCAGGCCCUCUUCUCUCUUUAUUUUCUUUUUAUUUCAGUAUUUAAUUUCCAUCUUUUAUUAGUUUUAAUUUUAAUUUUGAUUUUAAAAUUAGUUACUCUUUCUAUAUAUUUAAUAGUUUAUUUUCUGUUUUUGUGCUAUAAUGUCAAAUGAGUCCGAAAAAUCCCAGCAAGGGUCCAAAAAAAAAAUAUUUUUUUCAUACGCCUCAUAUUCAGGCAGAUUCAUAGGGUCAAACUUUUAUUUUCAAAUCCAGUACACGGUUGCUGUUUCUGCAAGUUGUUUCCUUUUUCCCUUCAACCCUAAUGCUAUGGGAUGAAUGAAGCCAGCGCGUUUACGUCUUUGGAUUGGAAUGGCUAUGCGAGAUGCGUGACAACACAGAUUGGAUGAGGAUGGGAAUGAAUGAGAUAGCGUUUGUUUGUUUUAGAUCAGGACGCGCUUUGCCGGAUUUGGAUUGAGAUGAGAUGCGCGUGUGACAGGCUGUGUUUGGAUCAAGACCAUAUUUUUUAUUUUUAUCAAAUUAUAACAAUUAAAAUAAAAAGAAAAAUAAUAAAAGAAAAGAUUAUACACACUUGACCUUUUGGACUUAUCUAAAAAAAAUGAAAUAAUUAAAUAAAUAGAUAAAGACUUAACAUAAUAAAAUUAAAAUCAAAUGAUCUAAAAAGAAAUAAAAGAUGGAAAUUUUAACUAAAAAUAAAAAAAUAAAAAAAAUAAAAUUAAAGAGAGAAGAGGGCCCGACUCGGAACCAAAAUGAGGUAUUUCAAAAUACCUCCCUGUCGAAAUUUUCACUGAAAAUUUGGAGACCGAACAGGGUUAAAUGACGUGUGUCGGCGUGACCUUAGGUCAAAAAUUGGGGUAUGACACUGCCAUUUAGGUGGAUGACAAAAAGUGUGGCAAUAAUGCUAUACAAGUUAUGUGGGUUUUGCUUCUCAGGGCUCAUUCUUCAUUGUUUCUGUUACUUGAUUGGCAACUGUUUUUUGUGAUUUGCUUGGAGCUUUUAAUGUUGAUUUGUAGACAAGGUGUGGCUGUUGAAAAAGGAUUUAAGGAUCAUGAGUGAUGAGGACUGCAAUUUCAAAAGGCAAACAUUUUGGAAUAUGUGCAGGCAGGGAGGCAGAGAUGUUGACUGCAUUAGUCUUUUCUUGAGAUUUUCUGUCACUGGAUUUGUUUUAAUUAAUACUUUUUCUUAGCCAUCUAUAGGUUGUUACUGAAGUAUACAGAACCAAAUAUGGGUCCAAGAAACCACGAUGCUUUUUUAAUCUAUUAAUGAUACCUUUUUAUUCUACUGACAUGAAUUGCAAACAUUAUUUUUUUUUCCUUCAUCGGUCCAGGAUUUUGGGAUGAAGUUGAUUUUUAAGUCAUGGUUUUUACUACACUUUUUAUAUUACAAGAAAGUUAGAAUUGAUAAGCAUUGGUACUGCAAGUAAUAUAACCUUGAAGAUUAAUUAAAUUGUAGAACACCAUCACGG
rnacentral:lncRNA from 1 species